AAUGCAUGAUGAGGACAAUUUCUAUGCAUUUCCUUGAAUAUUUCCCAACUCUCAUAAAUGUAUUCUCCUUCAAACUGAGUAAAAGAAAUUAUAUCAUUUGUAAGUUU